CACUGAGCUAUAGAUUAAAAAGGAAAGAAAAAAUGUUAGCCAUCUGUGCUGAGCGACAAAGCAUGCCAGAUGCACAGGCAACCCUUUGUAAAAGAGACGCUAAUUUCUGAACCCAAGAACACCAUUAUAUCAAAGUCCAUUCUGCAUAGCUUUCCUUCUUGAACAGUCAGGUCUCCAGGAGCCUGCAGAAAAUGAGGCCGGAAGAAUCGUUCCUGAAUUGGUUCAUUUUCAUCACCACUGUCCCUUGAUCGAGAUCGUGGUCUUAAAAUAACAUGAAAUAAAGGUCUGGGCCAAAGAGGUUAACUAGCACCACAGGAAUAUGAAAGUCCUUUUGAAAGCCACCAGAGCUCACUGCUGCAGUUGCAUAAAAAGUUGGACAGUGUUGAGAUUCUGUGGCUUUUGUGACUACAAAGCAGAACAGGUGCCUCAUCACAGUCAGAUCCAGACCCAGAGUGUUCAUACUCCCUUGAAACCAGUUCGGUUUGGGCACUAGAGGUAGCAAAUUUGGGAUGGACUGCCUGCAGACAGAACUGCUGCCAGACAGGGCUCUGCAGAAUUCACCAUAUAAGGGGUAAAAGCAUCUGGUGGUAUUAAUACAGAU